UUAAGUUCGGCGGGUAGUCCUACCUGAUUUGAGGUCAGAUGACAUGAAAGUUGUCCGAGGAGGACGGCUCUAAGCGACCCAGGCCGGGCGACGAACGGCGCACUAAGCGUUUUGUUAUCACACCGUCGUUCGGACCGACCACAAAGGGACCAGCUAAUGCAUUUAAAGACGAGCGGCAACCCGCAGACGUCCAAAUCCAA
rnacentral:misc_RNA from 1 species